GAACGAGAAAGUGGAGCAAUCCAUGAGUACAGUGGCGCACGGGUGAGUAACACGUGACUACCUGCCCUUGAGUGGGGGAUAACCUAGGGAAACCUGGGCUAAUACCGCAUAAUAUCGAGAGAUCAAAGGAGCAAUUCGCUGAAGGAGGGGGUCGCGGCUGAUUAGCUAGUUGGUAGGGUAACGGCCUACCAAGGCGAUGAUCAGUAUCCGGCCUGAGAGGGCGCACGGACACACUGGAACUGAAACACGGUCCAGACUCCUACGGGAGGCAGCAGUGGGGAAUUUUGCGCAAUGGGGGAAACCCUGACGCAGCAACGCCGCGUGGAGGAUGAAGUCCCUUGGGACGUAAACUCCUUUCGAUCGGGACGAUAAUGACGGUACCGGAAGAAGAAGCCCCGGCUAACUUCGUG
rnacentral:rRNA from 1 species